UACGAAGGGUGCAAGCGUUACUCGGAAUUACUGGGCGUAAAGCGUGCGUAGGUGGUGAGUUAAGUCUGUCGUGAAAGCCCCGGGCUCAACCUGGGAAUGGCGAUGGAUACUGGCUCGCUAGAGUGCGGUAGAGGAGAGUGGAAUUCCCGGUGUAGCAGUGAAAUGCGUAGAGAUCGGGAGGAACAUCAGUUGCGGAAGGCGGCUCUCUGGACCCAGCACU
rnacentral:rRNA from 1 species